rnacentral:rRNA from 1 species
AGUGAACGCUGGCGGUAGGCCUAACACAUGCAAGUCGAACGGCAGCACAGUAAGAGCUUGCUCUUACGGGUGGCGAGUGGCGGACGGGUGAGGAAUACAUCGGAAUCUACUUUUUCGUGGGGGAUAACGUAGGGAAACUUACGCUAAUACCGCAUACGACCUACGGGUGAAAGCAGGGGAUCUUCGGACCUUGCGCGAUUGAAUGAGCCGAUGUCGGAUUAGCUAGUUGGCGGGGUAAAGGCCCACCAAGGCGACGAUCCGUAGCUGGUCUGAGAGGAUGAUCAGCCACACUGGAACUGAGACACGGUCCAGACUCCUACGGGAGGCAGCAGUGGGGAAUAUGGGACAAUGGGCGCAAGCCUGAUCCAGCCAUACCGCGUGGGUGAAGAAGGCCUUCGGGUUGUAAAGCCCUUUUGUUGGGAAAGAAAAGCAGCAGGUUAAUACCCCGCUGUUCUGACGGUACCCAAAGAAUAGGCACCGGCUAACUUCG